UUCAAAAUUUAAGGUCAAUCAGAGUUGGUUUGAUAUGAUUCGGAAUUGGUUUUAGAGGUUGGAAGUUCAUUAGUUUUAGUAGGCUUGAAUUGGGGUAUGAUUCAUGAAUUUGGUAUUAUUUGAUGUGAUUUGAGACUUCGACUAAGUUCGUAUCAUAUUUUAGGACUUGUUGGUAUGUUUGGAUGGGGUUCCAAGGGCCUCGGGUGUGAUUCAGAUUAAAAUUGGAUUGGAAAUUGGAGUUAAGGAUUUCUGAAGCUUAAAGCUUCUGGUGUGAUCGCACCUGCAUGGCUUUGGCCGCUGGUGCGAGACCGUAGAAGCGGCCACGGGGUCGCAGAAGUGGUUCUGGGUUGGAACUGGGAAGUUGCGCAGGUGCGCGGAAUUUUCCGCACCUGCGAGCUCGCAGGUGCGGGCAUCUGGGCACAGAAGCGGAUAUGGGGCAGGAGAGGCCGGAGUCGCAGAAGCGGAGAUUUCUCCGCAGGUGCGGACGCGCAUGAGUGAAGGCAGGACCACAGAAGCAGUCCCACAGGUGCGUAUAAGGGGCCGCAAGUGCGCUUGGUCGGGUGUUAAGUGAGUUUCGCAGGUGCAGACCCAUUAACCGCAGAAGCUAAAAGUUGGAUCGCAUGUGCGAUAAUGCCUGGGCAGAAGGAUUUAAGCGAUGGGUUUCGUGGUUUCUCUCAUUUUUGGACUUGAGGAGCUCGGGUAGGGAUGAUUUUGAGAGGGUUUCGGCUACAAUUGAAGAGAUAAGUGAAGAUUCAUCACUUUCAUUGAUAAAUAUUGUUUACCCAUUAAUUUUUACACCUAGAUUAUGUAUGUUUGAGGUGAAAUUUAGGAAUUUUUGGACUAUAUAUUGGAGAGUUAGGUUUGGGGAUUUGAGGGUCGAUUUGUGAUUAGAAUUGGAUAAUUUUGGUAUGGUUGGACUCAUAAUUGAAUGAGUGUUCGGAUUUUAUAAAUUUUAUCGGGUUCCGAGGUGUGGGCCCGAGGUUGACUUUUCCAAUUUUGAUUAAAGACCUUAAUUUUAUCUUUUGGAAUUGUUUCCUAUAGCUAUUAUUGAUGGAAUUAAGUUACUUUGGCUAGAUUCGGAUCGCUCGGAGGCCGAUUCGCAUGGCAAGGGUUUGUUGAAACAUUGAGUUGCGCACUUUGAGGUAAGUAACAUUUCUAAACUUGGAAUUGAGGAUAUAUAUCCCUAGGAAACAUGUUUGUCAAGUUGUGUUGGGGUGACGCACAUGCUAGGUGACAGGCGUGUGGGCGUGCGCCGUGAUAAUCAUGAUUCUAGUGGAUUCUUUUAUCUUAUGAUGCUAUCUAGUCUUGUUUUAUCCGUGUAAUUCUUACUUGUUAGAGUAAAAGAGUUGUGAUUCAUUUUAGAAAUCAUGUUUAGACUACGUGCUUAUUUAGUUGAGACAUAAUGAGGCUAUUUCUACUGUUUUGAGUUAUCCAUUUUAACUGUAAUUAUAUGCUCAGUCAUGAUUCUUAAUUUCAAUAUCAUAUAUUAGUCUCUGCUAUCAUACACUGUUACAUCAUAUGUUAUUAUUGUUUGGGCUGAGUGGUACGAGAUUUGUGAGCCCUUGAGACUUGAGAGAUUGAAGACUGAGGUGGGCCUGAGAACCGAGUUGUGAGUGUUAUUGGGGAUCGGGCUGUACAUCGCAGCAUGCCAUAUUGGCUUUAUAAUUAUUAUGUGGAUCGAGUUGCAGGCCGCAGUAAGCCUUAUAGGCUUUAUAUUAGCGCUUGGGCAGGAUCCACCCCUCCGGAGUCUGACGUACCAGCAGUGAGCACAUGCACAGUGAUAUAUACAUGUGCUUUGGUGAGGGGUAUUGAUGCUAGGCACCCGUAAAAUGCUGAGUGAUUAUGUGUGAUUUCUGUGGGCAUUUGACAGGCAGAUUGAGCACUCCGAGAGUGUGAGUACUUGGGAGAUAUAUACAUUUGACAUGCAUAUUGAUAUGUAGGCAUAGAGAUAUACCAUUCCUCAUGCUAGUUGUACUUGACAUGUUCUUAUCAGUAUUGGACUUUAAUUGUUGAACUUGAAAGCAUGUCUAAAUUUUCUGUAACAUGAAUGAGCUGAUUUUGAUAAUUAAUCUGAGUCGUUUGUUGUUACUGCCAUUAUUAUACAUGUGUUAUCAUUUUAUUGAACCUGACUGUUUUCUUCUGAGCUCGUCUCUGCUUUCAGUCCAAGGUUAGUUCUGUUACUUAUUGAGUACAUGUGGUCGGUUGUACUCAUACUACGCUCUGCACUUCGUGUUCUAGGUACAUCUGGACGUGAUGAUUGCUAGAUAUGUGCUAGUACCAACUUAGGAGACUUCGAGGUAGCUGCUAUGACGUCCGCAAACCUUGACUCUCUCUCCUUUUAUUUUUUUCAAUGUUGUUCUAUUACUCAGAUAGUUGUACUAGAGUUUUGGCUUAUGGUGAUACUUAGUAAUGCUCAUGUACUCGUUGACACCAGGUUUUGGGGUGGUUGUAGUAGCAUUUCAGUUAUUUUUAUCAGAUGUUUAUGAGAUUUUCCGUUGUUGAGCUUAUUAAAAUAUGUUUUAUUCAAAUAUUUAGCUGUAAUGUGAUUGUCGGCUUGCCUAGCAAGUGUGUUAGGCGUCAUUACGACAGGUUGAGAUUUUGGAUCGUGACAUUAGUGGUUCCGUAAGAAUCACCGACAUCAACAAAAUAUGCAACAUUGAUAUUGAUGCAAUUAUUGGUGAUGUGAGGGGAAAUGGACUAAUAUGCUUGGAGUUGAACUAGUCAUUGAUCGUGAACUGAAAACUCCUGCAAGAGUUGAAACUCUAUGUCAUGGACAAGAUGAAAGUCAAUUUCUGUCUCUUAAUUGUGUUAUAUUAAUUCAUCAUCCUUUUUAAUUCUAAGCAAUUUUUUUACAAAUGAGCCGACAUGACUAACUCUUCUGUUUGCCUUUCAGACAUGGGUGUAUUAAUUGGCAAGGGUGAAUUCUAUGGAAAUAUCUUCAGAAUUACACCUCGACUUUGUUUUUCUAAAGAUGAUGCACAAUUUGCUUACAUGUGCUUCAAUCUUCCUUUUUUUAAAAAAAAAAAUUAAAACUUGGGUGCCUAAAUAAACUGUUUCUUGCAGACUUUCUAGAGGAUGUUAUGGAUUAUGUAAUAUCAAAGAUGUGAAUCUUCCAUUCUUCCACAAGCAUACAUCCAAGAUUUGAGGUUAUAGUUCAUUUCCUAGUUUAACUCUACAACGAGUAAAGAUCUUAGUGUUAUUGUCGAUGAAACUCUUAAUAUACAUAUGAUCUUUCUCUGUGUAUUGUAAGGUCCGCUUCAGUUGAUGCAGUAAUCUGACAAUCAUAUAAUGAGCCAACAACUCGUUGUCUCUACACAUCCAUCUUGUUUAUCUUUUUGGGCGCCUAGAACCAAAAAAUUACUCACCCCCUCAAAAAAAGAAUCUCAGUGCACCCACAUAGAUUGUGAACGUUAACACUCUUCAUUUCAGUGAGAAUGAUGAUUUUAGGGUACUAGUGAGUCGGUCACUACCUCUAUAGGGUAUUUUUGACAAUAGCUUCUCGAUCAAUUAAUAGACUUAUAUGAGUUACCUCACCUGCAGGAUCUUAAUAAAUUGCAAUGUUUAACAUUUAGUUUUUGGUUCCUCUAUUAUGUCGAUGUUGCACCACAAAGGAAACUGUUAUAUUAAGGUACUAAAUCUAUACAUCCUUAAGAUUUUGAUUUGCUCAAAGUCUUUCAUAUAGUAUCAAAGUCAAAUUUUAAUAGGUCUGUUUUAGCCGUCAGCUCCACUCUUUGAGGUUUGAGCUUCUUUUUCUGGGUGCAUUAACACCGUUAUGAGUUUAAGUAAAACACUUCUGCAUCUAUACCAAUUAAGUAAUAUGGUAUUUUCUUAUCAUUAAAUAUUUCAAAAUAUCUUAACAGGCACCAUUCCGCUAGCAAAUUUAUUUUAUACAACUUUUACGUAUUUUAAAAAUAAUUCUAUUUAACUAAUUAAUAAUUGAAUUUAGCUUUGAAAUGAUGUCUUUCUCUAUUAAACUAACUUUUGAUUACUAUUUUAACAGUAUCUUUUACUACUACAUAUGAUAUAGUACAAGUAAUUAACAUUUCAAACGUCAUGUCUAAUUAAAUAGUUUGACAUAAUUAGAACGCGGAGAGCAAAACGUAGCAAUUAAAAUUAGAAUAAACUUGCACGCACAGACAAGUGCACACUACAGCGUUCAAACCUCGGCAUUGCAGAUCUAUACCAGUGUUUUAAAAAGCGGGGGCGUGAGGCCGGGCGUUUUACCCACUAUAAGGCGAGACUUAAGCAUGAGGCAUGGGGCGUAAGCUCCAUGAAUCUUUAAAUUUUUUAAUUUAUAAAUUAAUAAAAUAACAUAAAAAUUAUAGAAAGUACAUUCAAAAUUUUAAGAAAAUUACAAAUAAUUAAAAAACUCGUAGAAAAUAAAAUAUCUAGCAUGUUUUGAUUGGCAAAAAAAAUCAAUGAUGUUAGUUUUACUAUGAAACACAAAUCAAUUAUAACGUCUUAACUUUCAAAUAAUAAUAAGAAAUCACAAUUUCUUAAUAAAUAUUAUUAAAUUAAAUAUUGCACCUUCCUAAAAGUAAAUAAUUAAUAAACUUCACCAGUGUUAUAAUUUAAAGUAUUACUCCUUCAUGAAUAAAUACAAAAUUACUUUCAAAUAGCAAAAUAAUAAAAGUUUGAUAAUUUUGAGAAACAAAGAAGAUAGAACUAAGACAUAAAGGCCAAUAGCAAGUGGAGAUAUGAAGUUUGGCUAUCUAUUUUAGAAAAAUAUUCAAAAUAUAUUCACGCUCACGUUGUUCUCAAUUAAUAAAUAUGCAAUAUUAUAACUCGUUAUUUGAGUCUCUCUCAAUCUUCAUAUUCCUAUAGAUGAAUAAAACUUUAAUCAUUCAUUUGUUAAAGAAUUUUGAGGGUUAAUAGUGUUAAUUAGGAAAUUGACACAUGAUUUGAGUAAUAAUUGUUGGGCGAGCCUCGAACGUCGGGCAUUAGGCGUGUUUAGGGAGCUUCACAGAACUAUGCCCCACACGUGAGUCUCAGGGUGUUUUGAUAGUGCCUCGUCCUGGGGCGAGCGCUGAGCAAGUCCCAAAAUAGUCUUUUAAAACACUGAUCUAUACAUACAUAUAUUAAUGACAUAGGGAUCGCAUAUUCUUGCUCAAAGUUUUUGUAUCAAACUUAACAAAGGUCAUGCUAAGUCAAAAAUACUCCUGAGUUACGUUUUUGAGUUUUGGAAAGAUCUGCCUGUUUUGAGUUGUAUGAUUACACUCCAAAAAAUAGGAGCUUUUGUAUACUGGGAACUUGAGAACUUUGAUGAAGUAAAUCUAGGUUCUUGCCUCCUUUUCAAUUAAGCACUAAAAUUUUGAAGGGUUCAUCAAACUUUGGCUGAUCACUAAUCAUCACUUUACCUAGGGAUGCACAAAGAAAACCGAUAAAUCGCACCAAACCGAUAAUUCGAGUCAACCCGGAAAAAAACCCCGAUUGUGGUUUGGUUUGAUUUAAUUUAGUAUUUGAAAAAAACCGAUCAUAAUUGGUUUGGUUUGGUUCAAACUAAAAAAAAGUCAAACCGAAAUCAAAUCAACCCGAUAGUAUAUUUAUAUAAUUUUUAAAAGUAUUUUAUACAUAUGAAUAUUUAUUGUAAUGUAAUUUAUAAAUAUUUCUUAAACUUUGUCAUAGUUUUAUCUUUUAACGUAUUAUUUCAAGUUUGAACUUUACAUUCUUGAAUGGUAAAUAAAUUUUAUAGCCCAUAAAUGUAGUAACUCAAACAAAAUUCAAAUAAAUACAAUGCUAACAAAAGAAAUUCAAUUCAACACUAGGAAUGAUGAUAAUGUUGGAUAUCUAUUUUUUAGUUUUACAUUGGUUUAUAAUGAAAAUGCAUAACUUAGUUUAUCUUUUUUUUUUAGUGAUUAGUUAUGUAAUUAAUAGUACUUAUUAGCUAUACUUAUUUUCGCAUGACCUAUAUAGUAUUUUUAGAUUAUAUUAAUUUUUAUUAUCGCUUAUUAAUUAGCAAUAUUUGCUUUAGGCAAUUUUAUUAUCUUUGUUAUUAAAUAUUUUAGUAUAAUAUUAUGACUUUUCUCAUAUUUUAUUGUGUUAUUUUCUUGGAAAAUAUAUUAUAUAGUUGUAUCUUACUAGGACUAAAGAAAUAUUUGGAGCACAAGUUACAUAUUUUGUGUUAUGAAGACUUUACCCGAAAAAAAUUCGAAAACCCAAAAACCUCGAAAAAAAUCGAGAUUGAAAAACCCGACUUUGUUGGUUCGGUUUGAUUUAUAGAUUUAAAAAUCCGACACUGUUGAUUUGGUUUGGUACUUAAAAAAUUCGAACCAACCCGACUUAGGUACGCCCGUAAUUUUUACCUAAUGAAAUAGAACAAAGAUGCCAUCUAGUUUCGAGUUAUCUAUAACUUCGUUGAUCAAACAAUCAUUAUUACACUCUCAAAAAUCAACAACUCUAUCAAUUAGUAACAUUUUACUAAUGAAGGAUCCAAAAUUAAAGCGAUGUUUCUUAAUAGUCAUAAAAAAUUACAAACACUAAUGAAGAGAGGAAGGGAAUGAUCAUUAUUCUUAGCUCAAGAAUCUUCCACAAGGAAAAUUGACAAGGGAGAGGCAAUUUACUUGCAGCAACAUUACAUAUUUAGACAAAGCGGCCGGACCGGGCUCGACGAUAUCGGAAUUAAUUGAUUCUAUGAUCUACUUAAUAGUAGAGAGAGGAGACUCUUUCAAACCUUAUCGAUCGGGCCGAACACGCAUAGGUGAAUAGUGGCGAGCAGAUACAGAACUAGACCUCCUUAGAACAAACAUGCCUGAAAAUCGAACCAUUGAAUUCAGAAUCCAAACUAAGUCCCCCAACACAUAAGCCAAUUCCUCGUAUAUGCUCAUGCUUUUCCUUAACAUUACACGCAUCACUACUGUCAUUGCAUCUCGAAAUCUAAUCAUUUUAAUGCUUUCUCUGAGAUGUGUGGAGAAAGUCACACGAGUUAUCAGUGUUCAAUGAAUUCCGAGUCUAUCUAUUAUAUGGGGCAACAAAACAAAGGCCAGAUGACCUAGAACUUCUUUCUUUCUUCCUUCUUCUUUCUUUCUUUUAAAUCUUUGAAUGAAUGAAAAUAAUAUGUGAACACUUGUGCACUAGUAUCAAUUAUUUGACAUUAAUUAUUAGUAUAAUAAAACUCUAAAGAAAGAAAGAAGUACUAAAGGGCAUGGUAGACUUACUUAAAUACCCUUUUUCUUUAACUUAUCAAAGCUUCUCACUACUUGUGAAAAAUUAAUGUAGAAGUUGAAGAAAAUGAUGAAUUCUAGUGCUUUAUUUAAAGAAAAGCAACCAUUUCCUUGCAGCUUGUUUUCUUGGAAUCUCAGCUCCAAAACUGCAAAGAAAACAUUGUUAGAACUGAUCAAAAGGGGUUUUCUAUAAAUCAGAUUAAAAAAGCUGAAGAUUGAAUUUUUACUUUAGUUUUUACCAAGGUGCUUUUGAUAGAGCCAUGUUGUAAAUCCAUAUUUAUUCACAUUAAUUAAGCUGCGCUAUUUGGCUAUCCUUUUUCUUUCUUUGUUCUUUUUGUAAAUGUGAGAUAAAGGGGCAAAAAUGUCAAAAGAAUCAAAGGAUGUCUGACAGGUAUGAGAAAAUUAAGAAAUGAGCACAUAAUGAAAUCAUUCUAGGCUCGAACAGC
rnacentral:lncRNA from 1 species